AGAAGGAAGGCUUAACCCCCACC
rnacentral:piRNA from 1 species